rnacentral:rRNA from 1 species
UGCAGUCGAACGAAGUAGCAAUACUUAGUGGCAGACGGGUGAGUAACAUGUAGGUAUCUACCCUAUGGCCUGGAAUAACACGAGGAAACUUGUGCUAAUACUGGAUAAGUCUUUACGGAGAAAGCUUUAUGCACCAUUGGAUGAGCCUGCACUUGAUUAGUUUGUUGGUAGGGUAAUGGCCUACCAAGACUGUGAUCAAUAGCUGAUUUGAGAGGAUGAUCAGCCACAUUGGGACUGAGACACGGCCCAAACUCCUACGGGAGGCAGCAGUGGGGAAUCUUGCACAAUGGAGGAAACUCUGAUGCAGCGAUGCCGCGUGAGUGAAGAAGGCCCUUGGGUUGUAAAGCUCUUUCGUCGGGGAAGAAAAUGACUGUACCCGAAUAAGAAGGUCCGGCUAACUUCGUGCCAGCAGCCGCGGUAAUACGAAGGGACCUAGCGUAGUUCGGAAUUACUGGGCUUAAAGAGUUCGUAGGUGGUUGAAAAAGUUGGUGGUGAAAUCCCAGAGCUUAACUCUGGAACUGCCAUCAAAACUUUUCAGCUAGAGUUUGAUAGAGGAAAGCAGAAUUUCUAGUGUAGAGGUGAAAUUCGUAGAUAUUAGAAAGAAUACCAAUUGCGAAGGCAGCUUUCUGGAUCAUUACUGACACUGAGGAACGAAAGCAUGGGUAGCGAAGAGGAUUAGAUACCCUCGUAGUCCAUGCCGUAAACGAUGUGUGUUAGACGUUGGAAAUUUAUUUUCAGUGUCGCAGCGAAAGCGAUAAACACACCGCCUGGGGAGUACGACCGCAAGGUUAAAACUCAAAUGAANUGANNGGNACCCGCACAAGUAGUGGNNCAUGUGG